rnacentral:rRNA from 1 species
GACGAACGCUGGCGGCGUGCCUAAUACAUGCAAGUCGAACGCACGGGGGACGGUUGAGUAACACGUGGGUAACCUCCCAUCAGAGGGGAUAACACUUGGAAACAGGUGCUAAACCGAUACUGAUGUAUGGACUCGCGGUGCAUUAGCGACUUCGUGAGGUAACGGCUCACCAAGGCGACGAUGCAUAGCCGACCUGAGAGGGUGAUCGGCCACACUGGGACUGAGACACGGCCCAGACUCCUACGGGAGGCAGCAGUAGGGAAUAUUCGGCAAUGGACGAAAGUCUGACCGAGCAACGCCGCGUGAGUGAAGAAGGUUUUAGGAUCGUAAAACUCUGUUGUUAGAGAAGCGGUAUCUAACCAGAAAGCAACGGCUAACUACGUGCCAGCAGCCGCGGUAAUUC